GCCCGAUUAGCCCAGCUGGCCAGAGCGUGAUACAAAUAUCUUCGCAUAGAGAUGUCAAGUAAUGCCAAAGUCAACAGUUCAAUCCUGUUCUUGGGCA